GAACAUGUUAAAUAAAAGACUUUGAUAAAUAAAAUGGUGUUUGAACAUACAAUUGCACUCGAAUUCACUUUUUUCUCUCUUUGACACAUAUACUUUGAGCAAGUGAAAUUUUCAGUAGUUUCAACACCCAGAUUUCCCUAAGUUAUAAUCCCUAUUUAUUGAAAAAUGAGAUAACUGCUUCCCAACGGGUCUUUCUUCCUUUCUUGCCACGUUCUUGUCUGCAUGCAAAACUACCUCCUGAGGUGCUUCCACAAGUCCCCUGUCUUGGAUAAGGCUGAGCGACAAUUAUAUAUCAUAUUUCUUAAUAAUUUCUAGUCGGGUAGAUCAUUUCACUUUGCAUGAAUUUUCACUAAGUCCCCUGAACCAUACAAUGUACACAUGGGCUUCGACUGACUUCUCAAACCAGUAUUUGGGUGUCGACAAGCUUAUUGGAAAAAACUAUUGAACACCUUAAAAGAAGAUAUGUUGACCUCAAUCUUCUCAACACUCUUUUCUUCACUUUACAUCCCCGUUUUCCCUCUUCUGUCAAAAUGACUCCACUAUGUCAUCGGAAUUCCUCUUCGACGAGUCAAAUCAACAUCCACGUCAUCACGUCGAAAUCCUAGCUAACAUUGUCAGAG
rnacentral:lncRNA from 1 species